CCUACGGGCGGCAGCAGUGGGGAAUAUUGGACAAUGGGGGCAACCCUGAUCCAGCCAUGCCGCGGGUGUGAAGAAGGCCCUCGGGUUGUAAAGCACUUUCAGUGAGGAAGAACGCCUGGUGGUUAAUACCCAUCAGGAAAGACAUCACUCACAGAAGAAGCACCGGCUAACUCCGUGCCAGCAGCCGCGGUAAUACGGAGGGUGCGAGCGUUAAUCGGAAUUACUGGGCGUAAAGCGCGCGUAGGUGGCUUGAUAAGCCGGUUGUGAAAGCCCCGGGCUCAACCUGGGAACGGCAUCCGGAACUGUCAAGCUAGAGUGCAGGAGAGGAAGGUAGAAUUCCCGGUGUAGCGGUGAAAUGCGUAGAGAUCGGGAGGAAUACCAGUGGCGAAGGCGGCCUUCUGGACUGACACUGACACUGAGGUGCGAAAGCGUGGGUAGCAAACAGGAUUAGAUACCCCGGUAGUC
rnacentral:rRNA from 1 species